rnacentral:siRNA from 1 species
CUAAGGGCGAUGAUAAUGGCGA